AUGGAGUGUGAAGAUGUUACAUAUGAGCAUGGAGUAAAUGAAGUGGCUAUGAAAUAAAUUCCAUGCUCAUUAAUGCUUAGAGUGAAAUCCAUGUGGUAUGGUGAAAAUGAUAAGGUGAGUGUGGUAAAAAAGAAAAAGAAAAAGGAUACACGGACGACUUGGUUCGAAACUAGCACAGCUACUGUUCCCCGGCAAUGGCGCCAAAAAGCUUGUUGGGUAUUUUAAACGCAAACAGAAAAAAUCCGCAAGCGCACGGAUACCGAUGUAGCUUUCACCCGGGAGUGUUCUAGAGUAUCGAUUUUCCACAGAGAGUGUGAGUGUACUAAUUAAGAUCCAAGAUCGUCCAAGGAUAACUAUAUAAUUAUUUUUGGUGGGAAGAGAGGAUGUUUCCUGAGAGUUCUCUAGUUGAUCUAAGAAUCAAGAAUUACUUUAAGAUUAUCUAUAUCAGGACAUCAGAGCACUAACCACAGAAAGAGAUG
rnacentral:lncRNA from 1 species